UGGGGAAUAUUACACAAUGGGGGAAACCCUGAUGCAGCGACGCCGCGUGAGUGAAGAAGUCUUUCGAGUCGUAAAGCUAUGUCCUAUGAGAAGAUAAUGACGGUAUCAUAGGAGGAAGCCCUGGCUAAAUACGUGCCAGCAGCCGCGGUAAUACGUAUGGGGCGAGCGUUGUCCGGAAUUAUUGGGCGUAAAGGGUACGUAGGCGGUUUUUUAAGUCAGGUGUCAAAGCAUGGAGCUUAACUCCAUUAAGCACUUGAAACUGAAAGACUUGAGUGAAGGAGAGGGAAGUGGAAUUUCUAGUGGAACGGUGAAAUGCAUAGAUAUUAGGAGGAAUACCGGUGGCGAAGGCGACUUUCUGGACUUUUUCUGACGCUCAGGUACGAAAGCGUGGGGAGCAAACAGG
rnacentral:rRNA from 1 species